rnacentral:tRNA from 1 species
GGGGCUAUUGCGUAACCUGGCAGCGCGCUAGGCUCCAGACCUAGAAGUGCGAGUUCAAAUCUCGCUGGCCCCA